ensembl:snRNA U2 U2 spliceosomal RNA
UUGACAUGGCCUUUUGGCUAAGAUCAAGUGUACUAUCUGUUCUUAACAGUUUAUUAUCUGAUACGUCCUCUAUCCAAAGGCAAUAUAUUAAAUAGAUUUUUGGAGCUGGGAGUUGGAAUAGGAGUUUGCUCCAGCCACUCCAAGUAAAAAAAAGAAAAAAAAACAAACAAU